AACGAACGCUGGCGGCAGGCUUAACACAUGCAAGUCGAACGCAUCCUUCGGGGUGAGUGGCAGACGGGUGAGUAACGCGUGGGAACGUGCCCUUCAGUUCGGGAUAACCCAGGGAAACUUGGGCUAAUACCGGAUACGUGCGAGAGCAGAAAGAUUUAUCGCUGAAGGAUCGGCCUGCGUCUGAUUAGCUAGUUGGUGGGAUAAUGGCCCACCAAGGCGACGCUCAGUAGCUGGUCUGAGAGGAUGUUCAGCCACAUUGGGACUGAGACACGGCCCAAACUCCUACGGGAGGCAGCAGUGGGGAAUAUUGGACAAUGGGCGCAAGCCUGAUCCAGCCAUGCCGCGUGAGUGAUGAAGGCCUUAGGGUUGUAAAGCUCUUUCGUCCGGGACGAUAAUGACGGUACCGGAAGAAGAAGCCCCGGCUAACUUCGUGCCAGCAGCCGCCGCAG
rnacentral:rRNA from 1 species